rnacentral:rRNA from 1 species
UACGAAGGGGGCUAGCGUUGCUCGGAAUUACUGGGCGUAAAGCGCACGUAGGCGGCUUCUUAAGUCGGUGGUGAAAUCCUGGAACUCAACUCCAGAACUGCCUUCGAUACUGGGAAGCUCGAGUCCGGGAGAGGUGAGUGGAACUGCGAGUGUAGAGGUGAAAUUCGUAGAUAUUCGCAAGAACACCAGUGGCGAAGGCGGCUCACUGGCCCGGUACUGACGCUGAGGUGCGAAAGCGUGGGGAGCAAACAGG